rnacentral:rRNA from 1 species
UAUGGUGCGUAUCUUGAAAGUCAAAACGACUCUCGGCAACGGAUAUCUCGGCUCUCGCAUCGAUGAAGAACGUAGCGAAAUGCGAUACUUGGUGUGAAUUGCAGAAUCCCGUGAACCAUCGAGUCUUUGAACGCAAGUUGCGCCCAAAGCCUUCGGGCCGAGGGCACGCCUGCCUGGGC